GCUUCAUCAAACACUGGAAAUGGGAGAUCACAGCUCUCUUAAGCUUCCUCCUGGAUUUCGUUUCUGCCCAACUGAUCAAGAACUCGUCCUUCACUUCCUCUACCGCAAAGCUUCCCUGUUGCCUUCUCAUGAAAUCAUUCCUGAUCUCCAUCAUCUUCAUCCUCUUGAUCCAUGGAACCUCCAUGGUAAGGCCCUUUCUAGUGGAAACCAGUGGUAUUUCUUUGCACAUAUGAUGGAAUUUGAGAGCCAGCAGCAGGUCACAGAGAAUGGACUGUGGAAGCAACUGGAUGUUCAGCAACCUAUCUUUAGUGAUUCUGGUAACAAGAUUGGAAUCAAGAAUUAUCUCGUCUACUAUAUCGGCCAACAUCCUGCUGCUAUAGAAACCAAUUGGAUGAUGCACCAAUAUCAUCUCUGCAACUCAUCAUCUCCUAAACGAAUCAGAAAAUCUGAUUACCAUAAAUGGGUUCUAUGUCGAGUUUAUCAAAGUACGGAGAAUUGUUGUCAAAGUUUCAAUUGCACAGAUGAAUGUGGAAAUGAUGAAGAUGAUGAUGAUGGGACUGAGCUUUCAUGCUUAGAUGAAAUGUUCUUGUCAUUGGAAGAUGAUUUAGAUGAUAUAAGUUUGCCAAAUUAACCAUCUUUACAAAUGUUCAUUUUGUUUGAUUAGGCUCCAAUUAAACUUAUGCCUUUGUGUGUAAACAUGUGUAUCUCAAUAUUAAUUAUUUUCCUUAAGGGGUCAUCAGUCUUCUUCAUAUAUUUUCAAAAUUGGAAACAUGGUUGUAUUAUUAGUUGACUAUUCUAUUUUAAUGAUUAUGUACUAUCUGCUGUUUCAUUAAGCAAUUAGGGUUUGAUUUUUAAGGGUUAGACUACAAGAAGAUGUUUUGGUGGUAUUGUACUCAUUGUUCAAUUAUUUUAAAA
rnacentral:misc_RNA from 1 species